rnacentral:rRNA from 1 species
UUUUGGACAAUGGGCGCAAGCCUGAUCCAGCAAUGCCGCGUGAGUGAAGAAGGCCUUCGGGUUGUAAAGCUCUUUUGUCAGGGAAGAAACGGUGAGCUCUAAUACAGUUUGCUAAUGACGGUACCUGAAGAAUAAGCACCGGCUAACUACGUGCCAGCAGCCGCGGUAAUACGUAGGGUGCAAGCGUUAAUCGGAAUUACUGGGCGUAAAGCGUGCGCAGGCGGUUAUGUAAGUCAGAUGUGAAAUCCCCGGGCUCAACCUGGGAAUGGCAUUUGAGACUGCAUGGCUAGAGUGUGUCAGAGGGGGGUAGAAUUCCACGUGUAGCAGUGAAAUGCGUAGAGAUGUGGAGGAAUACCGAUGGCGAAGGCAGCCCCCUGGGAUAACACUGACGCUCAGCACGAAA